CCUGUACUGAGGAACUAAAGAAUUCCACGGGAUCUGAAAACUGUACUUGCGAGUCAGGCUUUGAACUCAUAAAUGGAUCCUGCACAGAUUUUGAUGAAUGUCUGGUUGGUGUAGACCAGUGUCCAUCUGAUAUAGCUAUGUGCAAAAACCUACAAGGAGAUUAUAAUUGUACUUGCCAUUCUGGAUACGAAAACAUGUCACCGAAAGAGUGUCGAGACAUCAACGAAUGUGAACGUGAAUUGGAUAAUUGCAACAAGACUGAAUUCAACUGUGUGAACACACUUGGUAACUUCUCUUGCGUAUGUAAGGAAAAUACAACAGAAGUCGAUGGAGUUUGU